GACGAACGCUGGCGGCGUGCCUAACACAUGCAAGUCGAGCGGGGAUGAUGGAGAGCUUGCUCAAAAUCAUUCUAGCGGCGGACGGGUGAGUAACGCGUGAGCAACCUGCCUAUCACUGGGGAAUAACGCAUCGAAAGGUGUGCUAAUACCGCAUGAGACCACAGAACCGCAUGGUUUAGAGGUCAAAGAUUUAUCGGUGAUAGAUGGGCUCGCGUCUGAUUAGCUAGUUGGUGAGGUAACGGCCCACCAAGGCGACGAUCAGUAGCCGACCUGAGAGGGUGAUCGGCCACAUUGGAACUGAGAAACGGUCCAAACUCCUACGGGAGGCAGCAGUGGGGAAUAUUGGGCAAUGGGCGCAAGCCUGACCCAGCAACGCCGCGUGAAGGAAGAAGGUCUUCGGAUCGUAAACUUCUAAUCCCUUUGGGUGAAAGGAUAAAUGACGGUAGCCAAGAGGAAGCCCCGGNUAACUACGUG
rnacentral:rRNA from 1 species